rnacentral:rRNA from 1 species
GAUGAACGCUGGCGGCGUGCCUAAUACAUGCAAGUCGAGCGAACAGACGAGGAGCUUGCUCCUCUGACGUUAGCGGCGGACGGGUGAGUAACACGUGGAUAACCUACCUAUAAGACUGGGAUAACUUCGGGAAACCGGAGCUAAUACCGGAUAAUAUAUUGAACCGCAUGGUUCAAUAGUGAAAGACGGUUUUGCUGUCACUUAUAGAUGUAUCCGCGCCGCAUUAGCUAGUUGGUAAGGUAACGGCUUACCAAGGCAACGAUGCGUAGCCGACCUGAGAGGGUGAUAGGCCACACUGGAACUGAGACACGGUCCAGACUCCUACGGGAGGCAGCAGUAGGGAAUCUUCCGCAAUGGGCGAAAGCCUGACGGAGCAACGCCGCGUGAGUGAUGAAGGUCUUCGGAUCGUAAAACUCUGUUAUUAGGGAAGAACAAAUGUGUAAGUAACUAUGCACGUCUUGACGGUACCUAAUCAGAAAGCCACGGCUAACUACGUG